UUCAGGUUAAGACUCGCAGGUGAAAUAGGUUUAUAAAUAUGCUUCUUUGGAUAAAUAAUGACUUUCCAUAAUUAUUCCCAUUGUAAAUCAGUGUCAGCAGCAGUAAAAUUAAAUUAUAAAUGGACAAUAGAAAAGAAUAUAAAGAUAGAAAAUAACUAAUAUAACUAACAACAGACAUGAGCAUUAAUAAACAAAGAAACAAUGGCGUCCAUCACCGUGUUUCUGUGUCUGACAGUCACCUACUUUAAGAAUUAUCCAACCAUGUCCUAAAUGAAUUCAGGGAUGUAACUUAGGACAGUGUCUUUAUAACCAAAUUAUACUGAAUAUAUAUUUGUUGAAUGAAAGAAGCCCCAGGAAACUAGUACCAAACCAUGUGCUAGGUCCUGGAGAGCAGAUAAUUGGCCUUACUACCUUCCAGCGGCUGGCCAGCCUUCUCAGAAGGUUACAGUGGGGUUGGGGGUGUAGGGUUUUGUGAGGAGGACAUGAUUCUGUUCCUUCAGGAUUUCUCUCUACUUGUUUUCACAUCGGUUGUAAGUGGCAACUAUAUUUCUAGCUCCUUGUUUGAGGAAAGGUUUUUUGUAAUGAAGAUGCUUACUUAUAGCCUUUUUUUUUUAAAUGCCCACAGAAGCAGCCUAAACAAGAUAUAGGGUUAGAGUAAGUAAUUUCCCUGGAAAGUAAGGACCAACCACGUUGAAAAACCAGUGAUAUCUUAUGAGGUGUCAAGGUCAGAAAACCACCUGACUUUAUCAAAUGAUUUUGGGUCUCAUGAUUUCUUUUUUGUAUUAUUCCAGAUUGUUCUGCCUAUGUUAGGCUUGUCCGUGCAACAGUCACUCAUCUUUAAGAUGAUGAGUAUCUCUGAAGUAAACGCGACCCAGGGUAGAUUUGGGAGUCAUCAGUUUAAGGUAGCAGUGGAAGCCCUGGCCGUGGAUGAAGUUCUGCAGAAAAGAAAAGCAGGUCAAGGCACACAGCAGAGAAGUUUGGGUCACGUCUCGUGGAAGAGAAUUUCAACUGAAAGAGACACACCCAGUUGGGCAAUUGGACAAGUACCGCAGGAGCUAAGGAAAUCAAGUGAGAGACCAUGUGCCUGCUUUUAGCAUAACAAAGUGAAAAUAGGCCUUGAAGUUGCCCUCUGAACUCCAAGCAACAUGGAGAGAGACACCUCCAACUUGAGGGAGGAGGAGAGGAUGAAGUCCAGACCUUACACUAGAAAGGCCCAUGACUCCUACUGGCAGGCCAAUACUUGCGGACUGAGCUACUGACAAUGUGUUAGGAAGGGAGCUGACAGCUCCCCUCCCCAUCCCCCUACCUCCCACCCCCUGCAACCUGCAGCCCCAGGACAAGAAGCAGAUCCCACCUGCUGAGGAGCAGGGGACAGGGCACCAAACGUGGCCCAUGGCUUUGUCUCAGAGCCCAGUACCACAGCCCCCACAGUGAGACUCAGCACCCAGGAGAAAUCUAAGGUGGUUAGGGUGGAGUUUCUACUUGAGUAGCUUUGGGAUCUGCCCCAUGGAUCAGUGGAACACAUUUCUAGGUAAGUCUGAGCAGAUCACAGUCAUUGGGGUCUGACUAGUCCCUCGCCCCUGUGUUUCUCUGCUCUGCUUCCAGCUGCCAUAAACUAGGAGCUUUGUUCUACCAUGCACUUCUACCAUGAUGUUUCUGCCUUGGAGCCAGCUGAUCAUGUACUGAAACUGUGAGCAAAAUUAAAUUUUUCCUUCUUUAAUUUGUGAGUGUCACUUAUUGCAUCUCAGCAAUGGAAAACUGA
rnacentral:lncRNA from 1 species